rnacentral:rRNA from 1 species
GAUGAACGCUGGCGGCGUGCCUAAUACAUACAAGUCGAGCGAACAGAUGAGGAGCUUGCUCCUCUGACGUUAGCGGCGGACGGGUGAGUAACACGUGGAUAACCUACCUAUAAGACUGGGAUAACUUCGGGAAACCGGAGCUAAUACCGGAUAAUAUAUUGAACCGCAUGGUUCAGUAUUGAAAGACGUUUUUUCUGUCACUUAUAGAUGGAUCCGCGCCGCAUUAGCUAGUUGGUAAGGUAACGGCUUACCAAGGCAACGAUGCGUAGCCGACCUGAGAGGGUGAUCGGCCACACUGGAACUGAGACACGGUCCAGACUCCUACGGGAGGCAGCAGUAGGGAAUCUUCCGAAAUGGGCGAAAGCCUGACGGAGCAACGCCGCGUGAGUGAUGAAGGUCUUCGGAUCGUAAAACUCUGUUAUUAGGGAAGAACAAAUGUGUAAGUAACUAUGCACGUCUUGACGGUACCUAAUCAGAAAGCCACGGCUAACUACGUG